rnacentral:rRNA from 1 species
GACGAACGCUGGCGGCGUGCUUAACACAUGCAAGUCGAACGAUGAACUGGGUGCUUGCACCUGGGGAUUAGUGGCGAACGGGUGAGUAACACGUGAGUAACCUGCCCUGGACUCUGGGAUAACCCAGAGAAAUCGGAGCUAACACCGGAUAGGACCUUGCACCGCACGGUGUGGGGUGGAACGUUUUUCGGCAGGGGAUGGACUCGCGGCCUAUCCGCUUGUUGGGUGGGUAAUGGCGCACCAAGGAGUCGACGGGUAGCCGGCCUGAGAGGGUGACCGGCCACACUGGGACUGAGACACGGCCCAGACUCCUACGGGAGGCAGCAGUGGGGAAUAUUGCACAAUGGGCGCAAGCCUGAUGCAGCAACGCCGCGUGCGGGAUGACGGCCUUCGGGUUGUAAACCGCUUUUAGUAAGGAAGAAGGGGCCUUUGGGUCUUGACGGUACUUGCAGAAAAAGGACCGGCUAACUACGUGCCAGCAGCCGCCGUAAAAC